UACGAAGGGGGCUAGCGUUGCUCGGAAUCACUGGGCGUAAAGCGCACGUAGGCGGAUCUUUAAGUCAGGGGUGAAAUCCUGGAGCUCAACGUCCAGAACUGCCUUUGAUACUGAGGAUCUUGAGUCCGGGAGAGGUGAGUGGAACUGCGAGUGUAGAGGUGAAAUUCGUAGAUAUUCGCAAGAACACCAGUGGCGAAGGCGGCUCACUGGCCCGGUACUGACGCUGAGGUGCGAAAGCGUGGGAGCAACAGG
rnacentral:rRNA from 1 species